AUUGAACGCUGGCGGCAGGCUUAACACAUGCAAGUCGAGCGGGGUGAUGGUGCUUGCACUAUCACUUAGCGGCGGACGGGUGAGUAAUGCUUAGGAAUCUGCCUAUUAGUGGGGGACAACAUCUCGAAAGGGAUGCUAAUACCGCAUACGUCCUACGGGAGAAAGCAGGGGAUCACUUGUGACCUUGCGCUAAUAGAUGAGCCUAAGUCGGAUUAGCUAGUUGGUGGGGUAAAGGCAUACCAAGGCGACGAUCUGUAGGGGGUCUGAGAGGAUGAUCCCCCACACUGGAACUGAGACACGGCCCAGACUCCUACGGGAGGCAGAAGUGGGGAAUAUUGGACAAUGGGGGGAACCCUGAUCCAGCCAUGCCGCGUGUGUGAAGAAGGCCUUAUGGUUGUAAGCACUUUAAGCGAGGAGGAGGCUCUUUUGGUUAAUACCCAAGAUGAGUGGACGUUACUCGCAGAAUAAGCACCGGCUAACUCUGUGCCAGCCGCCGCCGUAA
rnacentral:rRNA from 1 species